ACUACUCAGGUCUAUCCUCUUUGCUCGGGGUCGCGGGGUAGUUAUAGGUGGUGUUUCGAUCGGUUUUCUUGAUGGCAAAAGUGGGGGAAUGGUACUUGUGUGAGUCUAUAGGUGUACAUACGUAAAUACGCGCGCUAAACAUACGAUUGAAUUAAAAUGGCAAAUAAUUAUUUAUUUAUCGAUCUUGGUGAUUGGAUCCUGAAAAUCUUUUAAAACAUAUAAGCAGUGGGUUCCACAGAAAGUGAAAGUAUUUGCUAUGAAUGUCAUCCAUGAAAACUGCAAGCUGAUUGCCACGUUUCUAGUUGAAUGCUGGUGGGCAGGUUUGGAAUAUCAGUGGAAAUUCCUUGCUGAUUAUUUCUAUCAAAAAACGACGCAUUAUCCCAGGAGCAUGACUGAAGGGAAAUAAUUUGACCGAAUUUAUAAUUGUACAUCUAGUUUCCCUGGCAUAAUGAACUAAUUGUAUAUAUUUUAUUCAAUAAUUGAUUGUAUAUAUUCUCUCUGAGAAUCUAUUGUAUAUAUUGGACUUAAUUGGAAUUAAUUGUACAUCUUAAUUUUUGGACUUCACGAUGGAGGACAUAACUGAUUCCAAAUUCUGUUUUGGAGAUUUGCUGAAAAAUUUGAAAAUGGUCAAGAGACCAUCUAAUUGGGCAGCAGUGAAGCAUGACGAUUGUGUAUUAUUCGUCGAAAUAUUGGAAAAUGGAGAACAACGGAAGAAAAUAAUCAUAUACAAUUCACUUAAUGCUGAAAUUCUGUACAAUAACGAUGUUCUCUCGUGGUUGACAUGUGAUAUAAUCAAAUCUCUCGAUCAUCUGGCUAUAAUCAUCGAAUUGUUAAACAGAUUACGAUUUUAAUCCAAUUAUUUCGACUGGUGGAAUUGUCUAGCUUUUACAACGCAAUGUAUGGAAUAAAUAAAGAUUUUAAAAAUGGA